rnacentral:rRNA from 1 species
UACGUAGGGUGCGAGCGUUAAUCGGAAUUACUGGGCGUAAAGCGUGCGCAGGCGGCUUCGCAAGUCAGACGUGAAAUCCCCGGGCUUAACCUGGGAAUGGCGUUUGGAACUACGGAGCUGGAGUGUGGCAGAGGGAGGUAGAAUUCCACGUGUAGCGGUGAAAUGCGUAGAUAUGUGGAGGAAUACCGAUGGCGAAGGCAGCCUCCUGGGCCAACACUGACGCUCAUGCACGAAAGCGUGGGGAGCAAACAGG